ACUUUACAAUGCGGGCAACCGUGAUAAGGGAACCCCGAGUGCCUGUAUAUGCAGGCUGUCCAGGUGUCUAAAACACACCUGAAGAAAGGGCCGGGCAAGACCGGUGCCAGCCGCCGCGGUAAUACCGGCGGCUCGAGUGGUGGCCACUUUUAUUGGGCUUAAAGCGUUCGUAGCUGGGUUGUUAAGUCUCUUGGGAAAUCUGGCAGCUUAACUGUCAGGCGUCUAAGGGAUACUGGCAAUCUUGGGACCGGGAGAGGUGAGGGGUACUUCGGGGGUAGGAGUGAAAUCCUGUAAUCCUCGAGGGACCACCUGUGGCGAAGGCGCCUCACCAGAACGGCUUCGACAGUGAGGGACGAAAGCUGGGGGAGCAAACCGG
rnacentral:rRNA from 1 species